rnacentral:rRNA from 1 species
CUUGACGACCAUAGAGCAUUGGAACCACCUGAUCCCAUCCCGAACUCAGCAGUGAAACGAUGCAUCGCCGAUGGUAGUGGGGGGGUUCCCCAUGUGAGAGUAGGUCAUCGUCAAGA